AAAUGACUUGGUGUAGUGUCUGGCACAUAGCAUACACCUGACAGGUGACAGCUGUUAUUAUUAUUAUUGUAUCUUAUGAUCACUCACCUGCACCUGAAGGCAAAUCCACAGGGACUACUGAAGGAUGGCAGGAGAAUUCCGGCGCUCCUCUCCACAGGACCAGCUGGCAGGAGUCCUGGUUUGCCGACCUACCACUAUGUAUUAAGAAUCUACUCUGGGGGCUGGCCUGGUGGUGCAGUGGUUAAGUGCACACAUUCCGCUUCGGCGGCCCGGGGUUUGCUGGUUUGGAUCCCAGGUGCGGACAUGGCACCACUUGGCAAGCCAUGCUGUGAAGUUGGUCCACAGUCACAGUAAGUGAAGAUCCAAGCUCCUCUUAGUUACAGCCCUGUGUAACCUGAGCCCUGACCACCGGUCCAGCCUCGCCUCCAGCUCCUCCUCCUUUGUUUUCAGCAUUCUCAAGGCGUCUCUUUAGCAAUUAAAAAUGGCAGCCCCUGGAGUGGAAAGUUAAUGGGGGAAAAAAAAAAUGUCUGGAGUGAUCAUUAAAAUUUCAGUGAUACUUUGGGCUGAAUGAGUUCUCAGGCAUUUUCAGUAAUAUAAGUACUUUCACUUGCGGCAAAUGACAAAUUCAUGGAGAAAUUCAUAGUAAGGGAAAUUACUAAUUUACUGUGUUUAUAUAUGUCAGUUACUCUCGCCUCCUCUUCUCAUGACUGCAGUGGAAGGGAAGAACACUAUUUUAGCCAUUUAAGUCAAUUUCUGUCUUCCAUGUUUUGGGGAAAAAAUGAUAAGCAUAUGCCGGCUGAAGGGGUCUUCCCAGCCCUGCUUCUGCAUGAGGGGCAUUUUCUGCAAACCUUUUUUCAUAUCCUGCUUUUCUGUCCACCUCUCUCAUAAAAUAAUUUGCUAACAG
rnacentral:lncRNA from 1 species